rnacentral:rRNA from 1 species
AUGUUGCACACUUGUACCUCAUGGAAGCCUCAAGCGUGGAAGCCAGCGCAUAUUUCACACGCAUUCGGGCAUGAGACGAGGAAAAGCUCACAGCAGCAAACCGAUGCUCCAGCAAGCGUGCCAGCUCACCAAGCUUGCCUUCACUCCAUCACUCAUCGCCGAGAGAAGAUAAGGAAGAGGUUGAGAAGGCAAGGUGUGAAGGGUCCCAAGCCUACUUUGCUCGAUGGGAACACCAAAGAGAUGAAGCGUAUCCGACAUGAGCUCAAGCCUAUGAAGAAGCAAGACAGCAACAACUACAUCUCCACCCUCUUCCCUCACAUCCUUGUGUGGAAGGAAACUUAUGGCUCUGUGUUCCUUUACUCGUCAGGAGGUCGGGAGAUAUUGCACGUUUCUCAGCCAGAUAUGGUGAAGGACAUAGGCCACUGGACACCAUCAGAGCUUGGGAAGCCUAAUUAUCUGAAGAAAACUCGAAAAGCCCUCCUUGGGGGAGGGUUAUUUACGGUGAAUGGUGAUGAAUGGGCCUAUCAGAGGAAGACCAUGGCACCGGAGUUCUUCAUGGACAAGAUUAAGGGUAUGAUACAGCUGAUUGAAGAUGCAACUGCUCCGCUGUUAGAAGCAUGGGAUAACAUUCUCGACAGUGCAGGAGGUAGCACAGAGAUAGUUGUCGAUGAUUAUGUGCGGAACAUCUCAGCAGAUGUAAUCGCCAGGGCUUGCUUCGGGAGUAGCUUCGCAAAAGGAGAAGAGAUAUUCUGCAUGCUCAGGAAGCUUCAAAAGGCGAUUUCUCAACAGGAUGCAUUUGUUGGACUCUCUGCACUGUGGAAGCAUCUGCCUACCAAGAGCAACCGAGAGAUACGGAAUCUGGUUGAGAGAGUCAGGCUACUGAUCUUGGAACUGGCAAAGGACAACGUGAACGAGAAUGGAGCUGAGAAUGUGGCAACUCAUAACGGUCUUCUGCGUGCGAUCAUCAAAGGCUCCCAUGGUGGUGGCCAUGGGGGCACUGCCGAGGACUUCAUCGUUGGCAACUGCAAGACCAUAUACUUUGCAGGGCACGAGAGCACGGCGGUCACCGCCAUUUGGUGCCUGAUGUUACUGGCCAAACACCCGGAGUGGCAGGAGCGCGCCCGCGUCGAUGUGCUGGAGGUUUGCCAUGCGAGGAGCACGUUGGACGUCGACGCCCUCCACCGACUGAAAAUUCUGACGAUGGUGAUCCAAGAAACUCUCCGUCUGUACCCACCGGCGUCGCUGAUGAUGCGUGAAGCCCUGACGGACAUAAAGAUUGGCGACCUGGAUGUGCCCCGUGGAACGAUCGUCCAGGUGACCAGAUCGAUGCUGCACCUGGACAAGGAAGCCUGGGGCCCCGACGCCGACGAGUUCCGCCCGGGCCGGUUCGCCAAUGGUGUGGCCGGGGCGUGCAAGCCGGCGCACAUGUACACGCCAUUUGGGCUCGGCUCCAGGACCUGCAUCGGGCAGAACCUGGCGAUGACGGAGCUGAAGGUGGUGCUGGCGCGCCUGCUGAGCAGGUUCGCCUUCUCGCUGUCGCCGACGUACCGCCACGCGCCGGUGUUCCGGCUGACCAUCGAGCCAGAGUUCGGCAUGCCAUUGGUGGUGAAGAAGCUGUGA